UACGAAGGGGAGCUAGCGUUGUUCGGAUUUACUGGGCGUAAAGCGCACGUAGGCGGAUCUUUAAGUACAGGGGUGAAAUCCCAAGGCUCAACCUUGGAACUGCCUUUGAGUAUCUGGCGAUCUUCGAGUCCGGGAGAGGUGAGGUGGACUGACGAGUGUAGAGGUGAAAUUCGUAGAUAUUCGCAAGAACACCAGUGGCGAAGGCGGCUCACUGGCCCGGUACUGACACUGAGGUGCGAAAGCGAUGGGGAGCAA
rnacentral:rRNA from 1 species